CUCUCUCUGGCGGUACAUAUACUAAAAUUGGAACGAUACAGAGAAGAUUAGCAUGGCCCCUGCGCAAGGAUGACACGCAAAAUCGUGAAGCGUUCCUCUCUCUC
rnacentral:snRNA from 1 species